rnacentral:other from 1 species
UGUUCCCUGCGGUGUUUGUCAAGGCCAUAUAUUCCUUGAACCAAUGCUAAUUGGCGUCGGUUGCGAACCAUUGAAGCUGCUGUUGUGCAAGCCCCAUUUGUCGGGCGAGCCUGAUGCGGACGGAACGUGACCUCUCUGAACCCCGGUUCAGGAUGCCGGCCUAACGGCACUUGCGGGGACAUU